AUACGUAGGGUGCAAGCGUUAAUCGGAAUUACUGGGCGUAAAGCGUGCGCAGGCGGUUUUGUAAGAAAGAGGUGUAAUCACCGGGCUCCACCUGGGAACUGCCUUUGUGUCUGCAAGUCUAGCGUACGGCAGAGGGGGAUGGGAUUCCGCGUGUAGCAGUGAAAUGCGUAGAUAUGCGGAGGAACACCGAUGGCGAAGGCAAUCCCCUGGGCCUGUACUGACGCUCAUGCACGAAAGCGUGGGGAGCAAACAGGAUUAGAUACCCUGGUAGUCCACGCCCUAAACGAUGUCAACUGGUUGUUGGGUCUUCAUUGACUCAGUAACGAAGCUAACGCGUGAAGUUGACCGCCUGGGGAGUACGGCCGCAAGGUUGAAACUUAAAUGAAUUGGCGGGG
rnacentral:rRNA from 1 species